AGUGAACGCUGGCGGUAGGCCUAACACAUGCAAGUCGAACGGCCGCACAGUAAGAGCUUGCUCUUACGGGUGGCGAGUGGCGGACGGGUGAGGAAUACAUCGGAAUCUACUUUUUCGUGGGGGAUAACGUAGGGAAACUUACACUAAUACCGCAUACGACCUACGGGUGAAAUCAGGGGAUCUUCGGACCUUGCGCGAUUGAAUGAGCUGAUGUCGGAUUAGCUAGUUGGCGGGGUAAAGGCCCACCAAGGCGACGAUGCGUAGCUGGUCUGAGAGGAUGAUCAGCCACACUGGAACUGAGACACGGUCCAGACUCCUACGGGAGGCAGCAGUGGGGAAUAUUGGACAAUGGGCGCAAGCCUGAUCCAGCCAUACCGCGUGGGUGAAGAAGGCCUUCGGGUUGUAAAGCCCUUUUGUUGGGAAAGAAAAGCAGCAGGUUAAUACCCCGAUGUUCUGACGGUACCCAAAGAAUAAGCACCGGCUAACUUCGUG
rnacentral:rRNA from 1 species